rnacentral:rRNA from 1 species
UGUGCCAGCAGCCGCGGUAAUACGUAGGGUGCGAGCGUUGUCCGGAAUUACUGGGCGUAAAGGGCUCGUAGGUGGUUUGUCGCGUCGUCUGUGAAGUUCCGGGGCUUAACUCCGGGCGUGCAGGCGAUACGGGCAUAACUUGAGUACUGUAGGGGUAACUGGAAUUCCUGGUGUAGCGGUGAAAUGCGCAGAUAUCAGGAGGAACACCGAUGGCGAAGGCAGGUUACUGGGCAGUUACUGACGCUGAGGACGAAAGCAUGGGUAGCGAACAGGAUUAGAUACCCUGGUAGUCAAGGGCG